UAAUACGGAGGGUGCAAGCGUUAAUCGGAAUUACUGGGCGUAAAGCGCACGCAGGCGGUUUGUUAAGUCAGAUGUGAAAUCCCCGAGCUUAACUUGGGAACUGCAUUUGAAACUGGCAAGCUAGAGUCUUGUAGAGGGGGGUAGAAUUCCAGGUGUAGCGGUGAAAUGCGUAGAGAUCUGGAGGAAUACCGGUGGCGAAGGCGGCCCCCUGGACAAAGACUGACGCUCAGGUGCGAAAGCGUGGGGAGCAAACAGGAUUAGAUACCCUGGUAGUCCACGCUGUAAACGAUGUCGACUUGGAGGUUGUGCCCUUGAGGUGUGGCUUCCGGAGCUAACGCGUUAAGUCGACCGCCUGGGGAGUACGGCCGCAAGGUUAAA
rnacentral:rRNA from 1 species